rnacentral:sRNA from 1 species
CCUUCUGGUAUUAAUAGGUUUCUGACAGUCAGACUUGUCCACAGGAACUCAACUGGCAAGGCUGCUUUUUUGUGCUAAAACUGGGGAGCUAGUGGGCACCAUGAAGAUCUUCUGCAGUCGGGCCAAUCCGACCACGGGGUCUGUGGAGUGGCUGGAGGAGGAUGAACACUAUGAUUUCCACCAGGAGAUUGCAAGGUCAUCCUAUGCAGAUAUGCUACAUGACAAAGACAGAAAUGUAAAAUACUACCAAGGUAUCCGGGCUGCUGUGAGCAGGGUGAAGGACAGAGGACAGAAGGCCUUGGUUCUCGACAUUGGCACUGGCACGGGACUCUUGUCAAUGAUGGCGGUCACAGCAGGCGCCGACUUCUGCUAUGCCAUCGAGGUUUUCAAGCCUAUGGCUGAUGCUGCUGUGAAGAUUGUGGAGAAAAAUGGCUUUAGUGAUAAGAUUAAGGUUAUCAACAAGCAUUCCACCGAGGUGACUGUAGGUCCAGGUGAGAUUUACACACCCUGUGUUGAAAGCUUUGCUUGCUCUUGUGUGAGAGA